AGCUUUGACUAGGCCAGGGGUGGGCAGUCUGGUCCUGCAGCUCUUAGACGUCUCCCUGUCCAACACACCUGGAUCCAGCAGCUGAAUCUCCUCCUCACUGCAUCAGGUUCUGCUAACGACCUCAGUAUUUGACUCGGGUGUGUUGAAGUAGAGACACAUCUACGUAGCAGGAAUCCCUCCAGGACUGGAGCUGCCCACCCCUGGACUAGACUCAGAUGCCACAGAGCUGAAGUCACCAAACAAGACGGUCAAAUCAUCCAACAGCAGGUCAGAAACCGGCCGCAGUGUGAACAGGACAGCCGUCCUCCAUGGCGGGAACUGACGUCAUGCCGCUGCCUGCGUUCAGCAGCACGUCAUUAAAUGCAUUCAGCGUUUCCUCUGCCUCCAUGCUGGACGCAGGCUGCAGCGGCAGGCGGCACACAGGUGGCAGGGAAAUUACAGCAGCCUCUGGGUUGGACUUCUUCCAGGUCAGGGAAGCCAAUAAAGCGGCUGCUAAAGCUAUAUGGCUGAGGAGGCGCCCAUGCCAGGAUAUUGCUCACUGUGCACGGGACAGUACGUUUUAUUAGUCGGAUUAUAUAAAAUAAUGCAGAUUGGAUUCAUAAGGUCAUUAAAGAACUGAAACCUGUCGGGCUUUGAACAAAAGCUCCGUUGUUUUAAAGCGUGAGAACAGAAAGUGAAACGGAACAGAGGGAACAUCCGUCAUCAGCUCUGAUCCCUCAUCACUCCAGAUUUACCGGCAGAUCCAGACCGAAACAGCCAACCAAACGUCCCAGAUCACCUUCAUACGACCUGAGCUCAAAGCUGUUUUAAUGUUUCUAUGAGUUCACAUCUGCUCCCAGAUUUCACACAGGAUGUUCUGUUAACCAAGAAAAGGAUCAAAAUCUGCAUCACCGUUUAUGAUCAUUUAUUAUUAAUCACAUGAAUAAAGUUUUAGUCCAAUCUGGACACCAAUUCCA